CCAGCACCUGCGGUAAUUCCAGCUCCAAUAGCGUAUAUUAAUGUUGUUGCGGUUAAAAAGCUCGUAGUUGAAUCUCUGAUCGGGAUGACCUCCUCACCUUAGGGCGAUGGUAGGUGUUGACCUGAUCAUCCUCCUAGAACACGAUGUGUCUUAACCGGGUCAUUCGAGCUAGGACUAUUACUUUUAGGAAAUUAGAGUGUUCCAAGCAGGCAUUUGCCCUGUAUACAUUAGCAUGGAAUAAUAAUAUAGGACUUCGGUUCUAUUUUAUUGGUUCUGGACCGAAGUAAUGAUUAAUAGGGACAGUCGGGGGCAUUCGUACUCAACAGUCAGAGGUGAAAUUCUUGGAUUUGUUGGAUACGAACUACUGCUAAAGCAUUUGCCAAGGAUGUUUUCA
rnacentral:rRNA from 1 species